rnacentral:siRNA from 1 species
AGCCAAGAUUUCAGGUUACAAGUG